rnacentral:rRNA from 1 species
AUUGAACGCUGGCGGCAUGCCUUACACAUGCAAGUCGAACGGUAACGGGCCUUCGGGUGCCGCCGAGUGGCGCGCGGGUGAGUAAUACAUCGGAACGUGCCCGAUCGUGGGGGAUAACGAGGCGAAAGCUUUGCUAAUACCGCAUACGAUCUACGGAUGAAAGCAGGGGACCGCAAGGCCUUGCGCGGACGGAGCGGCCGAUGGCAGAUUAGGUAGUUGGUGGGAUAAAAGCUUACCAAGCCGACGAUCUGUAGCUGGUCUGAGAGGAUGAUCAGCCACACUGGGACUGAGACACGGCCCAGACUCCUACGGGAGGCAGCAGUGGGGAAUUUUGGACAAUGGGCGCAAGCCUGAUCCAGCCAUGCCGCGUGCAGGAUGAGGGCCUUCGGGUUGUAAACUGCUUUUGUACGGAACGAAAAGCCUUCUUUUAAUACAGGAGGGUCAUGACGGUACCGUAAGAAUAAGCACCGGCUAACUACGUG